CGCGGAGUAGAGCAGCGGUAGCUCGUUGGGUUCAUUCCCCAAAGGUCGUGGGUUCGAUUCCCACCUCCGCAA
rnacentral:tRNA from 1 species